rnacentral:rRNA from 1 species
CCAAUAGCGUAUAUUAAAGUUGUUGCAGUUAAAAAGCUCGUAGUUGAAUUUCGGGGUCAGCAGGUUGGUCGUGCCAAUGGUAUGCACUGGCCUUGCUGAUUCCUCCCUCUUGAUGAGCCGUAAUGUCAUUAAUUUGGUGUUGCGGGGAAUCAGGACUGUUACUUUGAAAAAAUUAGAGUGUUUAAAGCAGGCAAGCGCUUGAAUACAUUAGCAUGGAAUAAUGAAAUAGGACGUUUGAUCCUAUUUUGUUGGUUUCUAGGAUUGACGUAAUGAUUAAUAGGGAUAGUUGGGGGCAUUAGUAUUCAAUUGUCAGAGGUGAAAUUCUUGGAUUUAUUGAAGACUAACUACUGCGAAAGCAUUUGCCAAGGAUGUUUUCAUUAAUCAAGAACGAAAGUUAGGGGAUCGAAGACGAUCAGAUACCGUCGUAGUCUUAACCAUAAACUAUGCCGACUAGGGAUCGGAUGAUGUUAAUUUUUUAAUGACUCAUUCGGCGCCUUACG